GUGCUCGCUUUGGCAGCACAUAUACUAAAAUUGGAACAAUGCAGAGAGGAUUAGCACGGUCCCUGAGCAAGGAUGAGACGAAAAUUCGUGAAGCAUUCUUUUUUUUU
ensembl:snRNA U6 U6 spliceosomal RNA